rnacentral:rRNA from 1 species
CGAAAGCUUAAAAUUUAAAAGACUUGACGGUACUUCACAUCAACCUAGAGGAGCCUGUCUAAUAACCGAUAACCCACGAUCAACCCAACCUUUUCUAGCCUAGCAGUCUAUAUACCGCCGUCGCCAGCUUACCUUGUGAAAGAAAUAAAGUAAGCCAAAUAGCACCACUCUAAUACGACAGGUCGAGGUGUAACCAAUGAAAGGGACUAAGAUGGGCUACAUUUCUCUCAGCCAGAAAAACGAAUAAACUAUGAAACUAGAAACUGAAGGCGGAUUUAGCAGUAAGCUAAGAACAAAAUACUUAACCGAAAUUAAUGCAAUGAAGUGCGC